UACGUAGGGUGCGAGCGUUAAUCGGAAUUACUGGGCGUAAAGCGUGCGCAGGCGGUAAGUUAAGUCAGAUGUGAAAGCCCCGGGCUUAACCUGGGAACUGCGUUUGAAACUGGGAGACUUGAGUGUGGCAGAGGGGGGUGGAAUUCCACGUGUAGCAGUGAAAUGCGUAGAUAUGUGGAGGAACACCGAUGGCGAAGGCAGUCCCCUGGGUUAACACUGACGCUCAUGCACGAAAGCGUGGGGAGCAAACAGG
rnacentral:rRNA from 1 species